rnacentral:lncRNA from 1 species
UGAGUCAGCCGGGGGCUGGAUCCCAGUCUAGAUAAUGAAUGGCUGUGGAGUAGAAAAGACGCAAUCGAGGCCACCCCCACGGUUCUCCUAGCGGCAGGGUCCACCAGCGCCAGAGCCUCCACUUCUUUGAGGGACCUGGAGUUAGAGGUGGAGUGAGAGGCGCGAGGGGGGCCGGGCAGCGGCCGGGCGCGGGCCCUUUAACUAGGAGCGCGGGCGCGGCCAGGUAAGGGGCGGGCCUGCGGGCGGAUGAGCGCUGCGCGCCGGCGCCGGCCCGGGAGCCGGAUUUGGAGCGCUCGGCGGCGGCGGGGGCCGGAGGAGGCGGCGCGGCGGAGCCUCGGUGGCCUGGGACGCUCCUCCUAGCGAGGGCCGCCGCCCGCCUCCGCCUGGAGCUCCCUCGCCCCGGCCGGGACCGGCCGCCACUUCCGGCGGUUCCUCUGGGACGCGCUCACCUGGGACGCGUUACCUGCCUCCGGGCACCUGGGCUGCAGGAUGAAGGACCGGCUGGAGCAGCUGAAGGCGGUAAGUCCCGCGAAGCCGGGGGCUGCGGGGCGCGGCCGGGAGGUGGAGCUGCGUGGGGGGGGGGCCUUCUCUUUGCUCCCCAGGUCCAGGCUGGAGGGCCGCCGAGCGCGAGGCCUGCCCUCUCCAGCCCCCGCAGCAUCCCGCGCAGGUUCCUCACCCUUCCUGGUCCUGCAGGGUCAUGUGCUCCGUGAUUCAUCGUCCAGCAGCGAUUUCCCUGACCGCCUCUCACCUUCCCACCCCCAGGUGGACUGGCGGGGGGUGCUCGGGCCGAGCGGGGCUCGCGGAGAGGUCCUGAGGGGUCACCCCACAAGUGUCAGGCACCAUAUCCAUAACUGGUCUCCUUCGCCUUCCUGAUUCCCUCCUGGGGGACACUGGACCAUGUUGACUCCUUCCCUGGGAGCAGCUCAGAUAUUCCGGUGACCUCUCCAGCUGUGGGCCAGUUCCAGCUCCUAGCCAUCCGUUGGUGGUCUGUAUUUAACCCGCACCUCCCGGCUCUACCCCCCCACCCCCACCCCGCGGCACUCCCACCCUCCGCCCCCAUUCCUUGGGACAGCUGUGGUCAGAGUAAAGGAUCCUAAGAUUAACCGCCAUGGGCGUUGCUUCACAAAAACUGAAACCAGGUGACUCUUGAGCCUGUUUCCUUGUGUGUCAAGUGGGAAUGUUAGAAGUUUGUUUGAGGAUCAUAAUGGGACAAUAUAGAGAAGCAUUAAAACAUGAAUUUUGGAGUCAGAUAUUCACUGACUCAUUCAAUAAUUAUUGAGUGCGUUCUAUAGCACGGGCCCCGUGUUAAACCUUGGAGAUUCAGUGACGCAGGCUCUACCUUAAUGGAAUUUCAAAUCUUUCCCUUGAUACAGUGUUGUCCAUCUACUUGGAAGCAGCACAUUAGGCUUCAGUCUAAACCUGCAGAAUCUGAUUCUUUAUGAAUCUUCCCAGGUGAUUUAUGAGCACAUUAAAGUUUGGAAAGCACUGAACUGGGUGAUAAGUGGGGCUUUCUCCUGCCCCCCCCCCCUGCUUACUGGCGAUUGCUUAAAGUCCAAGCCUAAGUUAUCUGUAAAAUGAGUAGUUGUGAAAACUAAAAGCAAGAGAGUAUGCAGAAGCACCCUUUGUAUGGUGCAUGCAUAUAGAAUUUAUAAAUGGUAAGUAUUAUGCUAAUAAGUGUAAAUGUCUUUUGGAAAAUAGAAGUGUUAGGGUGUUGCAUUUGUUUUUUUCUCCUCCACCUUUGCUUGGAUGAGAUCUUCAUGACCCUUUCACAUGCACUGGGCAGUAGGGCUGCAGAGGAGGCCAGGCAGCAAGAACAGGGGAACAGUUGCAUACUGUGGGAGCUGUGGGUGUGAGCUCGCCCCUGCCCCAGACUUGCUCUUUGUCAUCUGAGCCUCAGGGCAUCCUGGUUACUUACAGGGCAGAAUUUAUUGUCCCUAUUUUAUAGAUGGAGAAGCUGGAGCUGGCCCUGGGUAGGAGGGAUGCCCCAGGUCAUAGAUCUGGUCAGGGCACAACCAGGCGAGGAACCCAGACUUCUGAUACUCUUUCCUUUGAAGCAUGCUGGUUGAAGAGGCAGAAAGGAAAGAAGGCUUUGAAGAGUUUUGUAUGUCAUAAAAAAGUGCCAAACUGAACUGCAGACAGAGGUGACCCCCUUCCUUAUUCAGGAAAUCCAUUUCCAGAGGAAGAUGCCCCCUGGCCCUUUAAUAGCUCAUUGUCAACAGAGUAAAGAGUCUUAACUGAGCUUUGAGUUCCAAGAAUAAAUGCAGUUUGCUAGUGAAUCCAAGCAGGUCCCUUUGCCUCUGUGCUUUGUGCUUCCUCUUACCCUCUAUAAAAGGAAGCUAAUGAUAUGUUUCUUCCCUUAAACCGUUGGGAGUGUAGUGAAAGUGAGACUGUAGAAGGUGCUGUUAUUGUGGGAGUAUUGUUCUGAAAUCACAGGGUGGUUGCUGUUAGGUUUUGGAGUAGAGAGAUGCCGGGCAGCACAGGGCUAAGAGGGACUGGGUUGCAGGUUCAAAGCCUUCUAAUUGUGACCAUGUUAUUAAUUAGCUGUGUUGCUUUUGCCACUUUACCCUUCUGCUUCUUGAUGCUUCCUUUGUAAAACGAGGACUUUAGUUGAUCCCAGAAGACCCUCCUGGCAUUAUUAAUGGUCUCUGUGGAGACCGUCAGGAUUUGUGUGUGUUCUGGUCUGGAGUCCAUCUCCUCUACCCGCUGCCCCAAGAAUCACCUUCACUGCAACAAGAUAUGUCAGUGUCUUUCUCUGGUUCCUUUUCUCAACCAAAAGUGUUUGCUAAUCUUCAUGAAACGAGAGUAGCCUGUGCAAUGUCUUUCUAAACCCCAGGAAGGGAGGUGGUAAGUGCCUUCAGAUAGCAGGAAGGUUGGCAUGUGAAUGAGAUUAGCUUUGCUCUGUGUAGAUACCAGGGGAAAGUGUGGGGUGGGUGGGUAGAAGUCAGGAAUUGGUAAGAGCAAUUUUACUGUUCAAAGAUAGGGUAGGCUGACUGGAGAGGUGGCAAACCCUCCAGCAGGGUUUCUUUCCUAAGAAGCUUGUUGGGAUGAUAAAUGCUGCAGGAAUUUGAGUAUCUUUUUGAAGGGGAGAAGGUGAACCAGGAGAUUUAGGCCUCCACGAACCCUGAGAAUGUAUGAUCCCAUAAGAUAUUUUAUUGUGAGCCUCUCCUGAGCUUCACUGUUUGUGAUGUGAGUCUGUCUCAAGGCUUUGGAGACCAUAAGGGUUUUCCCUCAGAAUGGCACCUAUAAAGUGGACCUUUAUCCUUUUUCCCUAGCGUCAUUGUGGGGGUGAAAUGAGAUAAUCCAUGACAAUCGCCAACCACAGUAAAUGUGAGUUCUCUGUACUAGGCCCCCUGAGAGUAACAUCCACACUAAAUUAGGGCAUACCUUCCUAAGGCCAUGGUCACAAGCCUUGGUGUACCUUAUCUCUUGCGCUGCCCCUCCUGAUGGGCUCCCUCAGGAGCUUGCUUCUGACCUGGGAGAGGCUUGCCAAGAAUGUACAAUGCCCACAUCCAGCCUUUCUUAGUGGUUUUUCUGAUUUCUCUGUAGGUGAACUUUGAACUUGCUGAGUCUGGACAAUUCCCAGUCUAGGGACCUUCUUGUCUGGUCCUCUUUUCACUCAGCAAACAUUCACUGAGUCACCACUAUGUUCCAGACCCUGCAGUUAGGUGCAGGAGUGGAGUGGCAACUAACACCUAUUUCUGGCCCUUAGCAAGCUCAUGGUCAGGUGGGGAGACGCACAAGAAAUAGGCACUGUGAUACACCAUCCUUGUGGUAGAAGCAGCCACAGGAAGACCUGACUGGCUGGCCUCUGAGAUGGGGAUGAGCAAGGAGGUGGGAUUUCCAGAAGUAAAGCUUUUGAGUUCAGGUCCUUCUUCACGUGUAAUCUACUAUCUUCAGAUGCAUGUAGAGUCCUUUAGGAAGAAAGACCAGGAGACUGUAUUUUCUCAACCACUCUCCCAUGGGUGAGUGCUUCAUGUAUAAACCAUCAAGAACAUAAAAAUUCACGAAGCAUUCACACAGGUGCCUGUGUAUGGCAGCCACUGACUGCCAUGGUCAGAGCCUUUUGACCUUUAUGUGCUUUGCAUCCUGCUAUAUAUGACAUUAAGCAGAAUUAUUGUACAAAGUCCUUGUCUUAAAGAGUAAAUGGCCAUAAAGGGAAAACAAAGAAAUGUAUUUCGUGAAAGAGAACAAAACCCAAAAAAGUCAAAGGUAGAUAAUGGAGAAGCCAGUGAUGUAUGGAAAAGAGGUCUGGGACUUUGGAUCCCCUUGGAGACUGAUCUGUGGAGUGCCUUGGACCCUCCAAGAUCAGCACCAGUGGGCACACUAAUGAAAUCAACUCCCUGGGGCUCUAAAGGGCAGAUUUACUUUUAUUCUCUCUGUCCUGUCCUGUGUCUUGCCCCUUUCUAGUGGGCUGUGCUGUCGUCCUUCCCCAGUGAAGCUCAGGAUGGUGCUGAUCCCUUAGAAGCAGGAAGCUGUGCUUCCCCUCUACCUGACUUCUUCAUGUACAUGCUUACUGAGCCCCUACUCUGCGCCAGGUGCUUCGGAUCAUCACCUAGUCUUGACAUACCAACCUAUCCCUUUGUUGGGAUUCUGUCCUUUAGUGAUAAGAUUUCUUAUUAGUCAGGAUUCCUUCCUCCCCUCCUCUGUCAACCUGGGAGGAUUCAUUUUCUGGGAGAGAUGUUUUGCUGGGAGCAGAGCUGGGAUGAGGGUGACUGACGGGGAUUGAGAAGGGAUUACAGACCCAUCAGCCCGUGGCCGAGAGAAAAUGCUUGGAUGAGAGAAGGGGAUUAAUUUUAUUUUUAUUCCUGUAAGUGUGGGGGAGGGAGGGAUUGGCAGGCGCCAAGGCAGAGAUGUUAUGCAGGAUCUUGUCCUCUCUUCCCUCCAGCACUUCCUUCCCCUCUUUGGUCAGCAUUUAUACCCAUCUCCCCAAAUUCAUUCUUAUAGACAGUGCUCCCUAACUGCAGCCUAGAAUGCUCUCCCUCCGUCCUGCAGUUUGUGUUGACUGUAUGUUGCUUUACAAUUAAAUACUUUGAAGUCAGUCUGGUUUUUACUACCAUGAAGUGGGUUUGAAAACCACCUUCUACUUUUUUUUUUUUUUUUUUUUUUAAAGAUCUGGACUCUGUCUUUAACAGUUGAUCUUCUGUGUUGAAGAUCAAUGAUUCUUUUUGUUGUCACCAUAUCAACUACAGUAAUAAUUAUAAUUUAUUGAGCAGCUACUUUCUAUUGGGCAGCACUUGCGUUAGGUGCCUUGCCUACCUGAUCCUCUCAAUCCAGCAAGGCAAGGCAGUCUUAUGUAUUCUUCCCAUUUUACAGGUGAGGGAGUUGAGGCUUAUGUUUGACAGAGAUCCCCAGCUGGAAAGUGGUGGGAUCAAUAAUUGAGUGAGUCUCUCUUAUAUAUUUGUAUCAUGUCCUGUGCUGUACUAUGAUCAUUUCCCUCACCGCACUUUAUGCUCCUCAGUACAGUGGCAGAUAAUGAUAUCCCCCUGGGUCUCAGGGCCUAGCUCUCUUCCUGGUAGGCGCGUGUUAAACAUUCGUUUGUUGGCUGAUCAACAGCAGCUUAUGCACCCUUAUGGGCCUUAUGCACCUCUUAUUCAUUAUUAGGACUGUUUUUUGUGCUCUAUUCCCUGUGGGUUGGUGAAACUUUACCUGCUUAAAGUGGAACAUUUACUCUGGGAACCCAUAAAUUUCCUAAUGAAGCCAGAAGUCACUGUCCAUCCCCAGGGAUGAAUGAGUUCCAAUGUACCUACCCUUACCUAAACCCUCAGCCCAAGAUGACAUGGAGGGUUGCCUCUUAUUGGAAAGACAAUGAAGGAGAAGAUGUAGGUAUCUCAGUGAAAAUCUACCCUAUCUUAUUUUCCCCUGCAAAAUCCUACUUGUCCUUUAAGGCUGGGUUCCAGUAUCAUCACUGUAUGGACGUUUCCCAGGCUGACCACAUUGACCAUACCUUCCCUGACCCCCACUUGAUUUUUUUGUUGAUAUAUAAAAACAGCCUCAUUGAUAUUGCAAGUUCAGAAGCUGUCUGCCCUGUUAGGUCCAGGACUCUGGAACAGAGCACAGCCCCCACACGCCUCCUUCUCUCCAGCCCAAAGCUUGGAAGACUGAAAACCAGACCAUUCAGGGGAUGAACGGGGUUAUGUUGUCAGUGGAUUUACCUGCAGAUUCUGUAGUCCCUGAGGGGCCUUAUCUCCAGCCUCCUUUAUUUAUUUAUUUAUUAUUUUGUGGUUCUGGGACUUGAACCCAGGGCUUUGUCCAUGCUAGACAAGCUCCCUGCCAACUGAGAUAAAUCCCCAACCCCCUUUUAUUUUAUAUAUGGCCCCUUUUCAGGUCCCUGACCCCUGCUUUUAGGCAUUAACAGGCUAUUUCCAAAGCAACAUUCUGCAGUCUUUGUGUGGAGACAGUCUGAAGUUCAGCCCCCUCCUAAAGAGACUGGUGAAGCGUGCACUAUUUGGGUAUGUUCUGCUGUCUGGGUUAGGGCAGGGCGACUUGGUGUGACAUCAGGUGCCGGUGUUUUUUUUUUGUUUUUUUUUUAAAUCUUUUUGUUUUGGACUAUGUUUCGUUUUACAGAAAAGUUACAAAGAUACUUCAGAAGUUUUUGUCUACCCCUAGCUGGUUUCCCCUAUUAUAACUGGUACAUUAUUAUUCAUUAAAUGCCAGGCUGUAUUUGGAUUUCACUCGUUAUUCCACCAAUGCCCCUUUCCUGUCCUAGGAUCCAAUCCAGGACACCACAUUGCAUUCUGUUGUCAUGUCUCCUUAGCUUCCUCUGGCCUGGGACAGUUUCUCAGUUGUCCUUUGUUUUUCAUGACCUUGUCAGUAUGGCACUGUUUUAUGGUGCUUUGGAAGUGCAUUUCCUGGGGCCAGUGCUGCUGCAGCUGGGGUGGGGGUGGGUUAGCUGCUAAGAGUCAUCACUCCUUGAUGGUUGAGAACAAAGGCUCUGGGGCCAGCAGCCCGGGCCCUCUCCCAGCUGUCCACAGGAUACCUGGCAUCUUUGUGCAUUAGUUUCCUCAGCUGUAGGAUGGCAAGUGUCCCCAGAAGAUUAGCUUGGGGAUUAAACGCCCUGGUAAAUAUAAAGUGCACGUCUUAUAAGGAUCCUUAGCUUACUGAGAGCUUUCAACGAAUGCUUCAUGUUUUAACUGUGAUUUAAGUAUUCUAGAAGGGCCAUGUGGGGAAGGGAGUUAUGGGACAGGAUGAAAGGAAGGUUUGAGGAGAGGUCUGAGAAGGGUGUAAGACAGUGUUCCUUCCUUCCUCCUUCUGUGUCCUUAAGCUGAAUGCUGAGGAGGCGUUGGGGGGGCCAGGUUUGGAGGGUGGAGGAGGAAGAAACUAAAGGGAAGCUGAGUUCUCCAGGAGGAGAAAGAAGAUAUUAUUUGGAUUUGUUUGAAUGGCUCCAGGGGUUGUUAGGAGCACCUGGUUAAAGAGAAUAAUUCUGUAAACAGGGCCCACUGUGCUGACCCCCACAUGCCUUUUUUUUUUUUUUUUUUUUUUCCCCAAGGAGCAAUUUACCUGCCUAAGUGAACAGAAUAGGUCAUAUUGCUCAGCAAACUACUUGUUAACUCCAGGAGAAAUGUAGGCCUGAGAUAAGUUGAUAAAGAGGAACCCAAGUUACCCUGGAGGGGGACUUUUGUGACCAGAUCCUGAAACUCUAGGAGAUCAGGAUAAUUCCUCCUGACCAUAAAAUCUGUAAGAAUGUAUGGUUAGGAAUCCAGUUAGAGCCGUUCAGCCUCCACCAGGGUGACCUAGAAUUGUCAUGGCAAUUGGUACCUGAAAGUCUGAUGUCAUCUUGCUCUCAGUCAAAAGUCAAGAGUUGGACAUGAGUAGGACUCUCUGGAAAUUUUUUGGGGAUCCCCAGUGAGACUGGAAUGUAGGAGAGGCAUGUUGUCCCUUUCCUCUCUGAGAGGACCCACUCUCUCCCUUUAGAGGGUCCCUUUUCCUUUUUACUAUGCCUUCAGUAAAUUCAUGCCUGUUACUCUGAAAGACAUACCUGGAAUCUUUCUGACUUGAUCGUAAGAAUCGGGGUGUGAAGAGGGAUCUUCUCACUGCCUCAGUUUCUCAGACAGCCCUCAGCUCUGUAACAGGUUGAGAGAGAAGGCAGAAAGAAGAUGUGGUCUUUUUACCUGCAAUGGCCUUCUUGUAGGUUUUCUUGGAGUAAGUCCAUCCAGUUUUCAAAAUUUCCCCAAGGAGCUACCUCUGCAAGGAUUCUCUGAUAGGCUUGCAUCUUCCCUGGCUAUGCCUUGUGUCCAGGUGAGGUUGGGCACCUGUCUUCUCCUGGGUGUGCUUAUAUUUUCCUUGUACUGUGUGAUGUCAUCACUCACCAGGUGGUGCUGGAAGGGCCUGUCGGUCCAUCUGCCAUCUGAGACAGUGAGAUCCUGGAGAGCUGGGGGUGUUUGAGGGUGUUUGAGUGUGUUUGUGUUUUUCCAGCGUCUAUACUAUGGCUUAACAAAUGUUAGAUGUUCCAUAAAUACUGUUGGAUGAGUGAACAAACACAUGAAUCUGUUACUUGGCAUGGAACCUUCCUGUGAGUGAAUACUGGGGAUGUGGUGGUUGAGUUCCCUCUCCAAGUUGAUGUAGCAGUGAAUCUUGGAUUGGGCCAAGAGGCUCCAAAAUCAGCUCUUUUUUUCCCCUCAUGAGCUGGGUAAUCCUGGUUGGAUUAACCUUCCUAACCCAGAUUCCUUGUUGGUAAAGAUGACAUCUACCCAGAGGGUCUCUCCCAAUCUUUUCUUUCCUUGUGUUCACUGCUUCUACCCAAAUCUAACUCACGUAUUGAGAAGCAAAAGCAGGUAGGAACUAAAUGACAUGUGGGGAUGGAAUUUGUAUAUAACAAAUAUAAUGCAAGUUUAAGAACUUUUUUAUUUUUUUAUUUUUUGGUAUUGGGUUUUGAAUCCAGGGAUGUUUUAUCACUAAGCUAUGUCCACAGCUCUUUUUAUUUUUUAUUUUGAGGCAAGGUCUUGCUAAGUUGCUUAGGUCCUUGCUGAGUUGUUGAGGCUGGCCUCAAACUUGUGAUCCUCCUGCCUCAGUCUCCUGAGUCUCUGGGAUUGUAGGUGUGAGCCACCACACCUGGCUGAAUAGAAGUUCUUUCAAAAGACACAUAGAAGAAUAAGAAAUAAUGACCCUGUAUUAAGACAAAGAAAAUGCAUAGACUACAAGUCAUGUAUUCUCGGACAGAGAUGUAAUUAGGAAUCACAAUACAAUAAUAAUCCUUCCCAGCUUACCCACCUUGGAAAUUUCAAAACACCUUCCCAUGUAACUCUUGGCUUAAAAAUGAAUCAAAAUAGAAGUGACACUCUAUUUAGAAGUGAAUGCUAAUGAGAGCAGUAAAUAUCAAGUGGUGAGAAUGUAGCCAAAGCAGAAUUUGGAGGGAGCUCUAGUUCUUUAAAAUGACAGUUUCAAAAUAAAUGAAGUAAAUUCCAGUAACUAUGUGAACUUCCCUCUUGCUGAGACACUGGCUAUUACCUUUUGAGAACUGGCAGUUUUAAAAGCAAGGCUCCAUUCUCUACUUAAGGUGGUGUGAACUUGGACGUUUAACAGAGUUUAUGUGCCCAGAGUUGCUCUGAGCAUUUCACAUUUAAUAGCUCAUUUAAUCCUCACAACAAUUCUAUGAGCAGAUUAUUCUGAUCCUGUUACAAAAAAGGAAACUGAGUCAGAGAGUGAUUAAGUAACUCAUUCAAGAGGACACAGCUCCUGAGUGUCAGAGUCAGGCUGUGAACUCUCAAAGUCAGAUGUAUCUCUACAUACAUGCUCAUUUAUAGGAUUAUAUGCAUCAGUAUCUUUUUCAUUCACUCAUGUAGAUUAAUUCAGUUUAGAUCAGUAGACGCUGCAGCGUCCUCUGAAAUAAGCUAGGAUGUGUUACCUGGCCAGACUGGGAGGUGCCUUCAAGUAGCAUGUAAAGGUGUAAGCAGGGGCCCUGGGCUACCACAGAGCAGCCUUUGAAUCCUAAUGAUGCCAUUUAGUAGCUGAAUCACUUCAGAUAAAUCAUUUAACCUAAUUAAGCAAUUACCUUAUCUGUAAGUGGGAAAUUAAAAUUUGUUCCUCAUAGGGUUGAUGUGAGAAUUAAAUAAUUUAUUUGAAACCACUGCCCCCAUCCCCACCUCCACCCCACACUCUGUCUGCUAUGAUUUGUUAUGGCAGAAUGGGUGGAGGGAGUCCUCAGGGACUCUGGCCCGCAUCCAGUUGUCCACUGACUUAAUCUGGUAAUGAGUUUAUUCCUCAGCAUCUUCUCCCACGCAGGGUGAGUUGCUUGCCUUCAGUCUCUCAGCUAGAACAGAAUCUUCAAAGCCAAAGCUGGCUCACCAGGGUCCUAUUGUCUGUCAUUUCCUCUUGGUUCAUCUGACUAGGGUAUUGUGGACGGUAAGAUCAGCACAAAGGGGAAGUGUUCCUUUGGGGAGGGGGUUUCACUGCAACAGAAAACAGUGUCAUGGGGAGAACUGGGCAUUGGAGAAAGGUCAUCUGACUCUUUAAAUGGGAAAUGGAUUAUACCCGGUGCUUUUUGAGAGCCCAUGUGCUCACUCAGAAUUCUUGUCUAUAGACCAAAGAAGAGGGACUGGAAAUCCCAGAUGUAAGGCAGAGGCAGUGUGUGCAUGGCGUGUGUCCAUGUGUGUUGGAACCCGUGCAAGGAAGCGUGGUGUCUUGUCUUUGACCCACAGACCCUCAUCCUAGAGAAGGCAGGUGGUGGGUGUGGGCAGCAGAUGCUGUUGUCCCUAUGAAUCAAGUCUAUCAGGAGAGUCUGGGUUUAUAAAUAAGUCUUUGUUUCCAGAGUGAAGAACUGUUUCAGGGUGGGGAGGAGAAGGCACAGCAUUUUUGGUCACCUGCACAUGGGUUGGGAGGUUCCCGUCUACCACUUCACAGUCCUUUACUAUCCUGCUGUGGGAUGUGAAGGACCAGAUGUCCCCUCCCCUGUGUCCUUUGUUUCACCCAGAGACUCCUUCCUGGGAACUCGUGGCCUUCUGGCUUGUCCUGCCACCCUCUCCUCUGGGGGUCAGGGCACUGAUGGGAAGAAGCAGUCAGAUAGCUGGUGAAGGAGGUAUUCCUCUUGUGGGGUGACUUCCUUUUUCUUUCUUUGUCCCUGUCCUGUCUUUCUGCUCUGAUUUGUAAAAUCCUUAAUGAAAUGCUGGAGAUUUAGACUUGUGGGGCAGCCCUGCUUUCACUUAGGGAGGGGCAGGAGUUCAUCUCCUCUUUUCUCUUCUGGAGGGCACCUAUUUAUCUGCUUCAGUGGUUUUUCUGUUUUCUUUCUUUCUUCCUUGUUUUGACAACCGGACACUUUCUUAGAAUGAAAUCUUGUAUUCACUGUAUAAACAGGUAAAAGUGAAGUUAUGCAGAUUAGAGAGGGAGGAAGACCCAGGAGCCCUGCCUGUAGGCCUCCCCUCCCCCUGACUCCCCUGGGUGGCUUCUGAGGCACACCUGAGGCAUCUUGGGGUUUCCCCAAACCACAGUAGAAAGCUAACCUGACUUGCUGAGAAACUUGAGGUUUAACAAAGACAAGUGUUGUCCCCAAGGCCCACAGCUCCUGUCUCCCAGCCCAGGGUUCUUUCUGCAGAGCUAGACUGCUGCUCUCCUGGCCCCUGGCUGCUCUUGUGAUAGGCUUUGUGCAGGGUACAGUGCCCUAAGAGGCCCCGAGACAGGUGACCUAUUCCUGAACCUUGACUCUGUCGGCAGCUGGGAGACCCUGAAUAAAUUACAGCUUCUCUGAACUGCAGUUGCUUCACUGUAGACUGCAGAUAGGAUUGGAUGACAUGGUGUACAGAAAGCAAGGAGGGUGUUGUGACUACCCAGCACUUUGUAGGGGCCCUACAGGUGGCAACUCUUUUUAUUAACUGAGCUAGUGAAAAGGGGCCUGUGGUCAGAUGGACUGAGGAUGAUGGAGAAGGCAGUUUGAAAGGCAGCACUGAGUGAGAGGAUUGCAGGUUAAAUUGCUUGAGCUUGAGUUCUGGGCCCCUCAGUUCUUCCCACUUUCUGUGCAGAGGGAAGGUCAUAACCUUGGCUGUGAAUUCUCAAACUUGGUGUACAUUUGAGGGUCAAGUGUGGGGAGACACAUCCCCAGCUGGAGCCCAGUGUUGCCUAAGUCAUUCCUAAUAUCUCCCAUCUCUUGACAUGAGAGGCGUCAGGAGGCUGGGCAGGGAGGAAAUGGGUGCUGGGCUCAUGUUCCCCUGUACUGACCCCUUACCCCCACCCCCUCGUGGCUGAUCUUGCAGCUGUUGUAACGUUCCUAUUACCACAUACUCUGAUUCUUUGAUAAUGAUGCUGAAGUUCUCUUCUCAGCUAAGCCCAGUCAUAGGCCUGAGGAUAAAGGGCAUUGUGUGCUUUCCUUGCCUUUGGGGUCCCCAAUGCCCCUUGGUCUGCAAGAGCCACCUGUGUCAGAAAGGAAGGAGCCCCUCCUGGGAUCUGGUAGAGCCCACUCUGUAGGGGAUCCCUGGGGGUAGUUCCAGGCUCAUGUGACUCCAGAUAACAAGUGAUGAUGGCCUCUUCCUGCACAUCUGAUCUGGAUUAAAUGUUGUUUUCUACUUUUGGAAAUAGCAUGCUGCGUGAGGGGGAAAACUCUAGGAGAAGAUAGAAGCUAUUCUGUGUGUGUCAGUAACCCAUUGUUUGGUCCAUUGGGUAAGAACUUUAAAAUAUUAUUUAAUCCUCAAGUAAGUCCUGGCAGGCUGUUUUUAAAAUACACAUUUAUAUAUAUGUAAGUUAUAUAUGUAUGUGUGUACUUAUAUGUACGUAUGCUAUAUAAUUUUAAUAGAGGAAAGAGGCAGGGAAGAGGAGGGUGGCUUUUCAGUGAUUCCUCCUUGUUGGCAUAAAACCCAAGAGUAAGUUUUGGCAGUGUUAGUAGGCAUGCAGGCGGAAGGUGACAGGCAGGUGACAAGUCGAUGGAUACGUAUUUUUUAUGUGCCAGCCUUGUGCCAGGUGCCCUGUAGCUACUAAGUCCUAAGAGAUACUGUCUCUGACCUCAAGUUGCUUAAAAUUGAGGUAGGUCAGAAGUAGAGAUUGCAACCCAUAAAACUCUUAGAUGAAAAUCCGGGGGCAGUUUUGUGGGGUAGAUGUGAUCAAAGAGAGACUGUGAAGAUAGAAUUUGGUUAGCAGAGGAGGCUAAGAGAUGUUCCAGCCACUGGGUAUUUGUAGUGGCAGAGAGGGUGCACAGAAAGCCCAGGAGCAGGAAUGGGUGUGAUGGGUGCAGAAUACAGUGAGAUCAGGUGGAGGGAGAAGGCUCCUGGUGGAGAGCAGGGGUAUGACUCUAAGGCAUAAAAACGCUAGUUUCCAAAGAAUCUUGAAAGGCAGGCUGAGGCCUUUAACUUGACAAGUAACUAUCAUAUAUGGAGAAAGAACUAUCAUAUAUGGGGAUAUAAUGCGAUUAGAACAGAGAGAUAGCCAAAUGGGUGGGAGGCUGUUGCAAUGGUGUGGGGCCCAAUGCUCAGUCAAGGUCCAGUGACAUGCUAUUAUUUCUGUGUCACAGAUGAGGAAAUGGAGACUCAGAUACAGAACCAUGUGUUUAAGUCUCAGUGACCAGCAUGUAACAAGGCAGCAAUGCCUUGGAAUGGAUCUUACUGACACAUACUUGAGGUUUUCCCCUUCUGUGUGCAUCUCCAGAUGACCUUGGAAGAAAGGACACUCAGCAAAAGCUUAUUAACUUUCCUUUCCAGAGGAAGACAGGUUCCUGCUUUUUAGUAAGAAUUGUAGAGAUCUUAUUGGUAGAGGAACCUGAGGAGGCUGAUGAGAAGCCUGAGUGUUGAUGUUUGACCAAGGGAACAUUUGUCUCAAACUUUAGAAAUGAUGGGUAAGUCCAGGCUGCUGAACGCUGCUGAAGUUAAUUAUUUAUUCAGUUAAAAUUAAUGCAAUUUCUGUUAAGUGCCUACUAUGUGUUAAGUACUCAGGGACUAUGUGGGAUCAAUUAAUUCAUGACAACUACAGUACUGAAUUUUAAUUGCAAGGGACAAAGCCAGCUCUGGCUAAUGAACAAAAUGACUGCAUUGGGAGGAUCCUGUUCAACUCACUGAGAGGAUACUGUGGAAGAUCUGCAGACCCUGCUGAAAGCCAGGGGUCACCCUGGACAGGAAGGAGGGUGGCUCUGUUGCAUGCUGCCAUCGGUUGGCUCAGCUCUAUUCACUUCAGACUCCUCUCACAAGUGACAUUCCUCUGGGUGCUCAGGUCACCAUUGAUGGCCUCCCCAGAAUCACAUGGGAUGUGAUUUAGAGGAAGAUUUAUUGAAUGGACAGACAGACACCUCCCCCUCAAACACACACAAAGAAUCUACUUUAGAAGAUACAUAAGGCAAUUCUGAACCACCAGGAGUUUAUCAUUAGAAAAAAUAGAUAAAUAAAGGAAUAAAAAAUAAUAGGCUGUGGCGGUUGCUGUGUAAGCGUUGUACAAAGUGCUUAGGGAGGUUGUAAAUUUUGCAUGGGGGAGGCAUGUGUCAGGUAAGGUACACAAAGGUUGUCUGAACCAAGUUUUAAGGGCAGAGUAAAAUUUUGCCAGUUGGACAAACGCCCUUCAGGAAGAAGCCCUUGGGUGACAGUAGUGAUGUGAAAAAGAAUGUGUGCAGGAAAUACAAGGAAUUCUAAAUGUGUAGACCAUCAAUGUGGGUGGGGCUGGAUCUUAAAGGGCCCUGUGUGUUCUCGUAGGCAUUUUGGGAGUUAUAAUUCUAGCAGAUGAGUGGUCAUUAAAUAACUUUAGGUGGCAGAGGGAUGUGAUCAGUUUCGUUUUAGGAAGAUUUUUGUGGAGGUAUUAGAUCCUACUCCCUUCAAAGUGCCUAUUAAUCUAGGGAUGCUGGUUUUUGCAGAGCAGCCAGAGAGUGAGAUGCUGCAAGAGACAGUCACGAGACUUCUCCAAGGUUGGAGAACCCGAUAUAUCUAUGGGAAAUCCCAGUGACUCCUUGUGUGUGUGUAGGGGGAUGGUAGUGGGUACAGGAAAAAGGCUCCUGGUGGUCUCUUUGCCUGUGGAGUUCUGAGUGUUUGGGUGACGUGUCUUGGGCCAUAGGCUGCUGAAGGUUGUGCAGAAGCAGGCAUAGGGGAUUCCCCUGCGCCACCUGCACCCUCAGUAUCCAGUUUGCUCUUUGUGUUUAUAAGUUUGCAGUGUGCAGUUCAGCAGUGGACUGGGGAGAACAAUCCGGAAGAAUGUAGAAAUAGCCCGGGCCCUUGUUGCGGGGUGGGAAUGUAAUCAUUUCCUUAGCCAUUUGGUGAUUCUGCAGAGGAAGGUGAAUAAAAUUGAGAAAUCUUGGGUCCCCAGAGGUUGCUGGGGCCGGGGAAGGGAGGAGAGUUUCCUUUUUCCUUUUGAACAAUAGCUGACAGGGGACAGCGUAGCACCAUUUCCUUUGUAAUAGGUGGUGUCUAAAAACAGGAAAAUUUUCUUUACUCCAGCUAUGAGAAUCCAAAGUUCAUGCUUUGGAGGAACUGUAGCUAGAAUUUUCUCAAAGGGUCCAGAACCAGUAGAUGGGUUAGAUAGAAUCUGCUUGUCGUUAUGUGGUAGCUGGGUGGCUUUUGGCCAAGUUACUAAGCCUUCGUAUGUUUUAGGUUCGACUAGAGUGAGUUUUCAAAUGCCAUUAUUCAUACCGUCACUGGCAGUAGCAACAAGACCUAGCACUGGGCUGGGGGUGCAUCUCAGUGGUAGAGUGCUCCCCUGGCAUGGGUGAGGCUCCUGUUUGGUUCCCUACCUGGGUUCGGUUAUCCCAUCUGGGUUUGAUUCCCCAGCACCAGAAAAGUAGCAAAUCAUCAAAAUAGCAAAAACCCCUAGCAUUUCAGUGUGUCAGGCCUGUGCAAAAGUGUUUUAUAUCCCUAAAUUCUGUGAGUUAGGUAUUGUUAUUAUCAGCAUCUAACCGAUAAGGCAACCUAUGCCUAACAGGAUGAGUAGCUUACUUGUUUUUCCCUUCUCCCUGUCUGUCAUCCCCUGCAAAAAGUCAGUAGAUUUCAGAUAGUACUACACCAGAGUUUUAAGACCUCAUAGAGCUGCUGUAAGUUUUAAAGGAAAUGAUGUAUAACAAGCUUAACAUAGCUCUUGGGCCUUAGUGAGCAUUCAGUGUUCACUACUUACUGUUUUUUUCUUCUCACUCGGCUCCUUUUUGUCUUUUAUAGAAGCAGCUGACACAGGAUGAUGAUGCCGACGAGGUGGAGAUCGCUAUUGACAACACAGCUUUCAUGGAUGAGUUCUUUUCUGAGGUGGGCAACCUUCCUGCAUUUUUUGGGGGGAGGGGGUGAAUAUACAUAAGGAAACACAGCUUCCUCAGUAAGAGUAAAAAAUCUGGGCUCUUUCAGGGGUGGCAGGCAGUCUUUUGUUGGGGUGAGAGGGCUGAAAAUGUUAGAGGGGAGUCUCCAGUUCUUGUGAGAAACUGGAAUCUUCGAGUCAUCAGAGGGUAAAUUACAUGUAAUUGAGGAUAUGCUUUUAAAAUUGUAUGCUACAUGACAGCAUUUUAAUGAUAUCCUUUCUUGCCAAAGCACAUAAUUUAAAUACAUCAACCAUAGGCUCACAGCCAUGAGUGUUAAAAUUGAAUUUCAUCUCGAGGCCUGAUUCUGAUAAAUCAAAUUUGUUGUCUCUAAACAUUUUUAUGGUCCCUUUGACCAUAAAAUUAAUUUAAUUAAUUUUAGCAGUAACAGAGAAACCAAGAAUCUAGCAGUUUAUUUUUGUAAAGUUUAACAGGGGCCAAAAUGGGUUGCCCAUGUCUACAAAUUCACCUGCUUGUUGAUCUUGAAGGCCUUAUAGGGAUGUUGAUAGGUAGUGAUGGAAAAGCAGUGGCUUUGGAGCCAAAUGAACUUGGGCUCAAAUGUCAGUCUGCUUCUGUCCAACUGUUGAUUUUGUGAGCUUUCCUUAACAUGCUGAACCCUGGUUGGAGUCUGUCCUCAUCUAUAAAUUGACAUUGAUAAUAUCAUAAUUCCUUAUAGGGUUAUCAUAACAAUUGAGAUAAUGCUUAGAAAACAUCCAGAGUAUCAUCAGGCCUAUGUGUGCUCAAUGAAUAGUAUGUUAAAAAAGAAGAGGGAAAAAAACCCAACAAACCAGAAAGCUUAUUGUUGCUGAAGUUUCUGCCAUUGUAUAAUGGUUUCUUUAUUUAGGUCCCCCCCACUCACCCCCCAAAAGAAAAGAAGAGGCAUUGUGUUUUUUUUGCAGGGAAAAUUUGGGCACUGCCCAUCAUCUGGAUUGUGGAUGUGGAAACGUAGCUUCCAGAUUUCCUCUAAAUGCAGUGGAGUGGGGCUUGACAGUCAUGCCCAUUCAUCUGCUAGAGUAAUAACCAGGCUCAAGAGCAAACUUGAGCAUGUAUGUGCUGACCUGAUUGGGAAGUGUGCCGUAAACCUCCACAGCUCCACACCCAACUUGUGGGUGGGUCUGUCCCUUUGGUCGAGGAAGUCAUGGUGAGAUCAAACAACGCUGGGCUUUUGUGAAUCCAGUGUUAUUCCACUUGUGGAUCAUGGAGGGCAAAUGUCCUCUAUUCAUUGGGGGUUGGGUGAGAGGAGUAGCCUUCAGGAGACAUUUGCAGAUUCUGUAGUUUGUCCCUAAUUCUUGCCCUGGAGAGCCACACAUAUUAAAGAAUGUCUUCCCUAAGAUGAAGAAUCUCCUCUAGUAACUUCUUGCUCUUUCAGUGGGUGGGUGGGUCCCUGGGAGUCAGUGUUCCUUAUGAGGUGGGAAGAUGGUGGGCUUUGACUUGUGAGGCAUGGUUGGAGUCUGUCCUCAAGCAUUUUGUAGCAGUGUGACCUUGGUUAAGAUACUUAACCCGUUUUAGCUUUAGUUUCCUGCUCUGGAAGUCCCUUGACUUGUCAGCCUGUCCCUCUCAAGGCUGUUGGGAGAGUCACAUGAGCUCAUGAAUCUGGCAAACAUUCUCUGGACAGAAAAGUGCCCCAUGUGGAAGAAAGGUGUUUGGAAGAGGCCCCUGAGAGAGGUAGUGUGACCACCUCCAGGGCUGUUUGGAUUCCUGUUGCUUUCUUUGUGUUAAAUGCUUUUUGAUCACUUAGGAGAAAAAAAACAAAAACAAAAAACAAGGAAACCCCAUCAUAUUUAGGGCAGAGAAGGGGACUGCAUGGUGAGGUGAAAAGAGCACUGUGUGUCAUGAACUGUGUGAUAUUGGUCAUGUUCCAUAAGGUCUCCAUGUCUCAGUGGGUUUAUCUGUGAAACAGAGAGAAAAAUAUUCCAAGCUUUGUUGGGCAUGAGAAGAGCUGACACUGGGAAAGAGCUUAGAAUGGGGUUAGGCAGUGUUGCUUCCCUCCUUUCUCAUUUGCAAGAGCCCAGAGAGGAAAGAUGCUGGGGGGUGGGGGUGGCACAGAGGAGAGAGGGAAUGGUCACUGGAAGAGAUCCUGCAGGCAGUGGUGAACAGAUCCUGCUCUAAAUCUCAGCUCUGCCCAUUGGAAAAGUUGUGUAGCUACUUUAAACUCCAGUUUUCUCUCAAAUGGGAAUAGUACUGCAAUCUACUAGUUGUUAUGAAUAUAAAAUGAGAAAGUAUCUGGAUGUACCCAGCACAGUGCCACCAAAUUUUAGUCCUCAUCAUCCUUUUGUCCCCAUAUACUCAUGAGUAAGCAGACCAUAGAGUUCAUUUUAUAGAGCAUGGCUUGGAAAUAUCCUUCAUAUUGGGAUAAAGUACUUUGGAUAAUAGGGAUUUGGGGAAGUGAAGGAGUUUCCCUCUGUGUAUGACUGAGGAACCUGCCCAGUGUACCUUAGUUAGACACAGCUAACAAAGAUAGCACUCUUGUGAUAGACUUUGCUUUUUGGAUUGGUGCCAACAGGACACCUUUGAUUAGGUCCUUUGCUGAGAACUCAUAGUGCAAGUCAUGGGUUGGUCAUAGAGGCACAUGCAAGAUGCAGAUGAAAUCAUGGACCUCAAAAUAUAUUUUCAGAAUGUGCUUUGCAGUGUAAAAUUUGAAUGGCUUCUCUGUCUUCUCAGUUGUUAAAGAAUUGGCCCUUGGGUUUUCAGGCUACUUUGGCCAAUCAACCCAGGCCUCGUAAAUUAUAAACCCUGGACUUUGUCUAAUCUGCAGUUUUCUGUAUUUCCCGUGGUCGUUUGCUCAGUUGGCAGAGAAAGCAAAGUUUUGGAGGAAAUAGACCUGCCUCUGAAGGCAGCGGUUUAUUGUUCUGUGUUCAUCCAACCAUGCUGACCACCUCCUGAUGGUGUAGUAGGUGCUGGGGUGCAGUAUUCUGUGUGACAGGUCCUUGCUCUCUGGUGUGUUUCUAUCUGGUGAGGGUGAUAGAAAUUUUUAAAAAGUUAUCAUAUUGUAGUGGAAAUAUCAAAAAGACAUUGUGGGAGCACAGAAGAAGGAGUGUGGCCUUCUGCCUGGAGGAAGGUGGGCUUCUGGGGCUCUUAUCUAGACUUGCACCUCAGAUCUGCCUGGGAGCUUAUACACACCCAUGCCCGAUUCAUAGAGACUGGGAUGGCUCAGACUUGGAUUUUUCAUUUCUUGCAUCUGAUUUUGCCACCUACUGCAGCAACGGACAACUGCAGAGUGGUGGGGAGACUUGGAGGGUUGUAAGUAAGGAAAUAAUGGGAUCGGAGUGUGUUUUAGACAAAUCAAUCUAUGGCAGUUUGUGGAGGAAAGGAAACUCCAAAAACAGAAAUACCAGCAGAUUGGCCGAUGCAGCAAAGCAUGGGGAAAAGAGUCGGGCUUUGGUCUGGAUCUGUCAAUCUGAGCAGUAGCAUGGGGCAUCAUUUAGGGAUGUUUUGACUAACUGUUGCUUAAGCAGUAAAGAGAUGUAAUUAUUUCACGCAUGGAGAAGUUUCCUAUUAGGGAUGUACUGGGGCUUCAGGCCAGCAUCUCUGUGAUCCUUUGGGAUUUUCCCUUAGGGUUAAGAGAACAAGUCUGUUCUGAUUAUCAUUGCUUUAUAACAAACUACCCCAGUGUUUAGUGGUGUAAAACAACUAUUUUGUUAUGCUGACAGAUCCUUUUGAUUGGGUAUUUGUCUAGGGCACAGUGGGUGGUGUAUCUCUGUUCUACAAUACGUGGAGCAUUGGUUGGGAAGAAUUGAACUACCAGAGGCUAGAAUCUAAUAGAAACUUCAGUAUUCUAAUAGUGGGUGCCUGGACUGGGGUGACCAAAAAGAAAAGCUCAGUAGAAACUGUCAACCAAAGCCCUCAAACGUGGCCUCUGUGUCUAGUGUUCCUCAUAGCAUGGAGCACUCAGGGUUGCUGGACUUGUGACAUGGGGUUCAGGGAUGCAGGGCCAGUGUUCUGGCAAUGAAACUUACGUAGCGCAGUCACAAGCCUGCCAGAUUUGAGAGAGAAACCCAGGGAUCCUACCUCUCAAUGGGAAGAGCAUUAAGGAAUUUGUGCCCCUAUAUAAAACUACCCAAGAGUCAAAGCUCUGUUUGACAUCACCCAGCGUCAGCAUCACUAGCAAAAAAAAAAAAAUGGGAAUUGCUAGAAAAGUCUAAGAAUUCUUUUUAUCAGGGAGGAGAGCUAUCUAAUGGUCAAACUGACUUCCUCUGUGGCUUACUCGCUAUCACUGGGUCAUGUGGUCAUGACCAUCCCUAGUUGGAAGGGUGCCAGGAAAAUAUGUACUUAGUAAAGGGAUAAGAUUACUAGGAUCUCUAUAGUGCAGGUCAAGAUCCAUCAUCUUGGGCUGGCAGCAUAGCGGCCAAAACAGAAUCAGAAUUCUGUUAAAAAGAAAAAGAACAGCAGUCGAGGGGCUCGCUCUUUGGUGGGUCAAAGUACUUGUCUUGGAACACAGUGUGGGAUGCAGAAAGUCUCUGUGAUGAAGAGUGUUUGGGAUUCCUGUUCUUCUCUCUUAGAAAUUUAAAAUGCACAUUAACUUUUCAAAGCCUCCAUGAAGUCCUGUUGUGAGGAAACCUGCUCACCUUGGCUAGCCCAGCAUUGAGUUUUUCACCCUUUGUGACAUGGAACUUCUGUUAACAAGGAUGAAUGAAUACACUUUGGAAAAUGCUAUUAGAGAGUUUUCUUUUUUGGAUUCUAUCUUAGCUUGGGCUGCUGUCACAAAGUACCAUAGACUGUGUGGUUUAUAAAGAAAAGGAAGAAAUAAAUUUAUUUUCCACAGUUCUCUAGCCUGGAAGUGUGAGCUCAAGGUGUCAGCAUGACUGGACUCUGAUGAGGGCCCUCUUCUAGACUGUGGACUGCUGACUUCUUGUUGUAUCCUCACGUGAUAGAGAGCAAAGCUAGCUUUGGCUUCUUCUUAUAAGGUCUCACUCAUGAGGGCUCCACUCUCAUUACCUAAUUACCUCCCCCUCCCCAUAUAUGAUCACAUUAGUUAGGCACCAACAUGAAUUCACUGGUGUGUGUGUGUGUGUGUGUGUGUGUGUAUAAGAAACAGUGAAUCCAAAAUAGGUGCACUUAAAAAAAUUGGAGACUGUUUUACAGGAGUAUAUGAAGCAUGUUUGUCUCUUGAGGUUGCUUAUGUUCAUUUAUUUAUUCAACAGACAUCUACUGAGUGACAUCCAUGCUUGACAGACACAGUGGUGGAUAUCAAGUAGUCAAAGAUGAGAAACCCAACGUCCCAGCUCUGGAAGAGGUCCAAGUCAGGAUUAGAGAGUGUGGGCAAAGUGCUACAGAGCCUAGAGGGGGGUCCAAGGUGGGGUGGGAAACUGGAGCAAUGCCUGGCUAGAGGAUCUGCCAGGUGACCAGUCUUGAAACAUAGGGAUUUGCUAGUAAGCUUGAUUUUUGUUAGAACUAAGAAUCUCCAAGUGGUUGGAAUAAGAAAUCUAAGCAUUAGAUCGCACUCAGCAGGUUAAAUAUUUUUAGCAUUUUAAAUAGGAUAUUUGGAUGAUAGGGACCAAACGAGGCAAGCGGGCACGCUCUUCGUUUCUGGUCUCUUUCUGUAGUCAGGCAGGAAGCCCUGGCCAGGCAUUUGCCUGUGUGCUCUCAGGCCUAUCACCCACCCUUCCUGUGCUCUGUUCUCUGUUGCAGAGAAUUAUGUUUUGCAGGUUCCUUCACCAACUUGCUCUUGGUAUGUUCGACCGAGGGCAGUGCUAGGGAGUGAAUAUUUGUGCUCGCCCCAUUCAUAUUUUGAUUUGGGAUUUCCUAGCCUCCAGAACUAUGAGAAGUGUGUGCUUGUUGUAGAAGUCAUCAGGUCUAGGGCAUUUUUGUUAUAGGAAUACUAAUAGGUUGGACAGGGAAGUGCUGGCUGUGUCUUCUCCCCAGACUCUGCCUCCAUGGCCCCAGUUCUGGUGGACUCCACCAAGGUCAGGCUCUCGUGGCCCCACCUUCUUUGUGCCUCCAGCUGUUGCUGCUUGUUUUCAGAGUGCCUCACCAUCCUCUGUUGGGCUUUUUAGCCUUUGUUCCCAGUGUGAAAAACUCCCUGUAUUAUUUUGGCUCAAAUAAUUACAUAAGUUUUUGUUUUCCUGACUGAAUUUUGAGUAACGCAAACCCCAGAUAUACUUAAUUUGAGAUUAUGGUCUAAGAAAACUUGUUUUUGCUGGUCAAUAUAACUCUGAGAUCAUUCUUUUCUUUUCAUUCAUAAAAAAACAAGUUGAAACACUAGUCCCAGUCUUUAUAAAACCCCCUCGGGACUUGACUGUUUGUUGCUUGUUUGACUAAGGUGACUUCUCCCUCCCUUCUCAACAGUGUUUGUUUUCUAAAGCAAAGAAGCAAGGCCAGGCGUGGUUGUGCACCCUGUAACCCCAGCUGCCCGGAGGCUGAGGCAUGAGGAUCAUAAGUUCAAGCCCAGCUUGGACAAUUUAGCAAGACCCUGUCUCAAAAUAAAAUGGAAGAAAGGGCUGGGCAUGGAGCUCAGUUGAAGAGCACCCCAUGGUUCAGUCCCCAGUACCAAAAAUCAGUCAGUCAGUCAAUCAAACUUAACAAAUCCAGAGGACUUGACUGAGAAGCUCAAAUAUAAGGAUUGUUUUGGAUUAUGCCUUUUAUUUUUGAUACCAGGGAUUGAACUCAGGAGCACUCGACCACUGAGCCACAUCCGCAGCCCUGUUUUGUAUUUUAUUCAGAGACAGGGUCUCAAUGAGUUGCUUAGUGCCUCACCAUUGCUGAGGCUGGCUUUGAACUUGACAUCCUCAUGCCUUGGCCUCCCAAGCCUCUGGGAUUACAGGCGUGCGUCACUGCACCUGGCUUAUGCCAUUAUUUUUGAGGAAAAGUAAAGGUGUAUGAAUUGUAAAAAGGAGGGAUCAUUUAUUUGACUACAGCCAUGCUACUUUUGUCAUCUUAGAAUGGGUACAAAGUUAAAUUUUCAGUACAUAAAAAUGCAUGAAUUAAUACCCACCUAAAGGUACAAGAUACAGGGGCAUUUAGGGGAAGUAGAGACUAAUUCUAGGACCAGAAACAAAGCUUUUUGCUUCAUCUUCCACCAUGCAACCUGCUAGUUUCCAAAGCAGCACUUCCUCUGCUUUUCAUCGCCUACCUGGAUCCUACUGGUUAAUUAAGUCCAGAGAAAGGCCAUCCAUGCCUUCAAAAUAAGUACUUCCUUUUAGCUAGAUGAUAGUGGUUAGUAUAAUAUGGUUAUUACAAUUGGCAACACCCAACAAGUGAUUGACUUGCUGCCUUUAGAUUUCCUUGAGUGGCUAUCGAUGACAUCAGUGCCUUGUUAACAUUACGAUUGUCUAAAGGAUUAAACGAGACAUGCUUAUGGCUGGCAUAUAGUAAAUAUAAGGAAAUUGCUGGCAACUUUUGUAAAAUAUCAGUCAUCAUCUAACAUUUAUUGAGCAUGGUGUGGGAGUGGGAGUGUAUUUUGUGUUAAGAAUUUGACCUAAGCGUGGUCAAGGUCAUAAAAAUGCUGAAAGAUGGAGCCAAAACUUGAACCUAAUCUGUUUGAUGAUAACUUAUUUUCUUCAAUCCUAUGUUAUCUGGAGUCCCAUAUUACUGACAGAAGGCAUUGGAAACGUAUUAGCUGUAGCAUGGUGAUCAAAAACCAAAACAUGGUGAUUAAAACAAACAAACAAACCCACUUUUGGAUCGGUUCCCUCCAUCAGCAGUGUUUCUUGAAAGCUCAUUGUGUAAAAAGCUCUCUAUAAUGAAUUUUUCAGGACAAAGAAGUAAGGCACAUGAUGUCUGUGAAAUGUGGCUGAACCAGUCUCACAAAACACGGGUUGAACAUGCAUGUUAACCUGAUGUAAGUGGAAUGCACGUGGACCAGGGAGAGAAGAGGAGCCUUCUAUAGUGGUUCUUGCAGGCUUACCUGAUUCACGAGACAGGGUUUGGUACCUAAUAGAUGGCUGGGUUUAAACCUUAGUUUUGCCUGUUUUUGUAGCACGACCUGGAGUAUGUUUCUCUACCUCUUUGAGCCUCAGUUCUUGUGUAUGAAAAGGAGAUAGUGAUGGUGACCUCACAGAAGUACUGUGAAGGGCCAGAGUUGUUUCUGAUAAGCAUGUGUUCAGUCAAUUCUAGUUCAUAAGUACAUGACCAUGCAGGGAAUGUCAGCAUGCUCAACUCCAAACAAAGAGCUCUUAGGCUUUUAGAUCUGGCACUUGUCAAUUUCCUACUAGGUCUCUCCUCUCCCCCAUUCUCCUCAUAAUUUUCUGGUUAUCUGGCAACUGCACAAAAGGAAAUCACAUGUAGCUGCUGCUGUGAAAUACCCAGAAAGUCAUCUUUGAGAAAAACCAGCACUUCCAAGAAAAAACAAUGACACUCAGUUCAGGGGGGAAAAAUCAACAGCAACAAAAAACUCCUCUGGGAUUAGUCACAUCCUGAAGACCCAGAGAGGUUUGUGAUUACUUGGUGAACUCACUAAAGCUCUGUGAAAUCAAAUGCUUCCAAAUGGUGAAUUGAUGAGGAUAGAAGAGAGAGCAGUGCAGUGGGUGAGGACUGGGGGGGCGUGGUGUAUGCUCCUGGGGCCUGGGACGUCCAGUAGGCAGGGAGAGGAUGGAGGAUGCAGGACCCAACACUCCUGUCCAUAGGGCUGGAUGAGCAUCUUCCAUCCAGUCUCCGUAGGCCUGAAGUGACUCUGAACCUGAGGCUCUGCAGACUCAUUCCAGCAACUUCCCAAGUCCUGUCUUUGCUUUGAACCAUUGACCAAUGUUUGGGCCAGGGCACUCUUAAGUUCAUUAAGUGAUUUUUCCAGAAGAGAUUUUGUAAGAUAACUGGUCCAUUGGCCAUGCAAAUCUAAGGUAUUGUGAUUUGUUAAAAUUUUGUUAAACUAAUUUUAAAUUGGUUAGCGCAUUUUGUUCUAGAAAAACGUCUUUCUCAGUCCCGUGAGUACCGUGUAGUUUCUUUCGCAAACAUCCAUGUGAUGGAAGUGGAAACUUGUGCCAUUUUAUGAGCUGUAGGAGGAGCCUGCAUUUGAAUGACAGAAAAAGGAAGAACAGGUGGAAAUUUCUGGAUGUGAUUAUAACUUUAGAAACCACCAGUAUUCAUGAUGGUAACACGGGCCCUUUUUAAAGUUGAGUAGGCUUGAGAUUCUACUAGAACAGUGUAGAGAAUUAAAAAAGGUCUGAGAUCAAAUGGACAAAGAUCCCAGAUGGAUCCUGGAGGGAACUGUUGGGUGCUGUCACUACCACCAGCUGUGUGACCUGUAACUUCUUUAAGCAUUAGUUUCCUCAUUUGAAUAAUGCUACUAAUACAGUCUUGUAAGUUAUUUAGUCAGCUGUUAAAGAUCUUCACAAAUAUUUAGGUAGCUACCUAAAUGUACAUCUACACUAUGAUGAUCUUACAUUGAAAUUUUAUUCAUCUUUAAGCAAGUGAUUCUGUUGUCAAAUUGUGAUACAUUAGAGCCAAAAUAUUCAUGGAGGGGAAUACUCCUUGCUUCAGUGGCAAAAAUAUGAAUGAAUUUAAGGGUUAGAGCUCAAGUUACAUUUCUUCUAUUUUCUGUCCAAUUUGGAAAACUGUGAUCAGGUUUUUAAAAAAGGGGCAAAUCAUCUCCUGGAGGAAAGGGACACUGGGAGCUGCAUGUACAUGGAGUUGUUGUCUCGUUGUAUCCAGAUGUUAAGAUCCUCCUGCCUGUCAGUUUACAAGCUUUCUGUUGGUUGACUGCUGCAUGCUGAGGGAUGAGGUAGAUAGACCCUGUGGGUGCUGCUCUCUGUACAUCUCCCUGCACUGAAGAGGGGCUGUGUACCUUGAGGAGGGAGCUAAGUUAGCACUUACUGUGCACACGGCGGUGCCUGGUGAUGGUGUUCUGUCCAGGAGUGACGUGCUGCCGGAAAUAUUUCAUGACACCCCGUUGAACAAUCUAGAACUUUAACAUGCACAGAAAUGGUCCAUGGUCCUAGCUUCUGAGCCCUGAUCAGCUGCGGGAAUCGGGUUGAGAGAUCUUUCACUGGAACCCGUGCCCAGGACAACCUCUGCUGUCUCCUGAGACAACCAUCAUUCAUUCUCUUUCUCUCUCCCCUCUCCAUCUGUUAUCUUUAUCUGUUUCUGUCUUUUUCUUCCUCUUCUUCUCUCUCAAAGUAUUUUCCUUGCCCUUCGCUUCUUCCUUUUCUUCUCCCCACCCCCACCCUUUUCUGUCCUCACUUUUUGGGCUAAGGAGGGAUCUGCCUGAUGAGGUUUGCUGGUAUCUUCCCUCUGAUGUUCUCAUGGAUUUUCCUGAUCUUCUUGACUCUGGCCUGAACCAUGCCAUUCAAGAGGGGUGAACACUUCCCUUUCAGGGAGAAGGAGGAUGGAUUUUUAAUGACCGUUCUGUUGAGACUAGUUUCUCUCUCUAUGGAAAGGGUGCUCACUGGGCAGCUAAGACUUGAAGUCAUCAUCUCCUUCCCCAAGCCCACCGGGUGACAGUGUCACCAGUAAGCGCUGCUAAGCAUUCACCUCAGCCAUGGAUGUAGUCUUUCUCUUUGAUGAUGAAGGCUAUUGUCUUUCUGAUUGUAGAUCGAGGAGACUCGGCUCAACAUUGACAAGAUCUCAGAGCAUGUGGAGGAAGCAAAGAAACUCUACAGUAUCAUUCUCUCUGCACCAAUUCCAGAGCCAAGUGAGUGUUUACUCAGCUGAGUCACCCAGUGGUGACCUUUUGCAUCGGGGCAGAGGCAUUCCUGUUUUCCUCACCUCUGUGAACAGCAGGGAGGUGUCCACAUCACCCUGGACUAAUGUCCACAUCAUAUCACCUCUUUGAUUUCUUUACCUUAUCUGAGUUCUCACUGCCCAGCCGUCAGCUCUUCCCUUUAUGGUCCCUCUUGAACCACUUACCCAGUCUCUCCUCUGCUUCCCAGCUGGACCCUCCUGUGGCUGGCAGUGACUCUUACUGCUUCCUACAUACUCCAUGCUCUGUCCCCCGUCUCUGCCUUCAUUUAUACUAUUUCCUCCACCUGAAAUGCUUUUCCCAGCCCCCUUUCUCAAUCCCACCAGAUCAAGUCCACCUUUCCCAUGAGGUGGUCACGUAGGGUUCAGUUUCACAGGACUCCUGUUCCUAAGCUUUUUUUUUUUUUUUUUUUAAACCACCACAGAGGCAAACUUUUGUUCCUCUUAAUAGUAGGGGGAAUACAUUUUGAGAGUAAAAUUUAGGGCUCCAUUUCCUGUUCCUUAAGAACAGGGGCAAGCCCAAUUCUGUCAUUUCACUCUACUUUUUUUCAAUGACUAUUACCUCAAGAUUAAAGUUGGAACAUUUUAGCAGAGCAUAUGGGAGUCGUGCUGGUCGGGUUCCUGCCCUCCUCUCCACCUUUUCUCCCACCCUGCAUGUUCCCAUGUUACUUAUACUUUAGUCAGACUAAAUUCUGUUCUCCAAAUAUUUGUUAUUCCCUCUUGCAUGUUGUGCCUGCUCCUUGGGGCUCCAAUGCCAAUCACCUUCAGUACCCGGUUAACCCUUAGUCCUUCUUUGAGACUCUGUCCUACUUUCCUCAUCUUUAGAAGCUUUCCCAGAUCCCUAUCAAUCCCUAGCUGUGCCAGGGAGCCCUUUAUAACACCUCGUCAGAACUGCAGCCUACUCCAAACUGUAUGUCAGGACUGUUAGUUUAUUUUGCUCCCACCCCUCUCUAGACUUCGAGCACCUUGGAGGCGGAUUCUACAUCUUCUUUCUGAUUCCUUAGUUUCUAGCCCCAUUCCAAGCUUGUAGUGGGGUGCCAAGGACGGUUUUUGAAUGAAUGGUUAUAGCUAACAUCUGUUUUGCUCCAUCCAUCCCAGGAUAGUCCUGGACAUGGAGUAGGUGUAUCAAAAAUACUUGCUUCAUUCUAAGUUGAUGAACCUUGACUGAUAUCUCUUUCACCUAGAAUUCCCGCAGAAUUCUCUCCUACCCUGUGAGAUUAAGCCCGCAUCAUAAACCAGGUGGUUUCCUCCAAAAGAAAAGUUCUCAAAACUGACUUGGGGAGGUUUGUUGAAAAAGCAGAUUCUGGGGCUUAAACCCUGGGUAUUUUCUUCUGUACAUCUGGAAAAUGGUAACUGGAGAAUGCCUUUUAUUUUAAUCAAAUAUUAAUUUUGGGGGUUGCAAGGGAUUGAACCCAGGGCUUCAUGCAUAGGAUCCAGCGUUGAGCUAUGCAUUCAGCCUGAAAAUGCUUUCUAAACACACGCUCUCAGAUUCUAAUGAUAGACUCUGGGAAACACAUUAGGAUGAUACUGUUGAGAGCAGUGGGUGCCUAAGCUCCCACACCCUUUGCUGAUGGUUGUAAAAGAAGUUAGUCCUUCCUUUUCUAAUGGCUUCUACCUCCUCUGUUUACCCAGAAACCAAGGAUGACCUUGAGCAGCUCACAACCGAGAUCAAGAAAAGGGCCAACAAUGUCCGGAACAAACUAAAGAGUAAGAAGGGAACAGGGGAACAAGCUGACCCCUGCCACCAUCCACUCAGCUCCCUGCAUGUACCUCCUCUGAACUGACAGUCACCUGGAUGAAGUGACCACUUGUCCAUGUUUGCUUAUGGUUUGGGCACUGUCCCUGGAGUGACCUAUGGCAGCCCCAGAAAGUCCCCUUCUCUUGAAUCUUGACUGUAGUUGAAAGAGUCCAGAAUUGAAGUUAGGAGAUGGGAGCUGGAAUGUGCUUCAGCUACUGGCCUGGUCCUUUUGCUCAGUCCAUGGGUGUAUUCUUAUUGGUUCUGUUUCCCCAGCACCCAGCCGACAUUGGAGUAGUAAUUUUAGACAUACAUACACGCAGGAUUUAUUCAGUUCACAGAUGUUUCUUGGUGGGCACCUCCCAUUGCUGCCCACCACCUAUUUCAGAGCAUAGAUCCAAUUCUUUUGGGGAACAAAGGGUUUCCACAGUUCCAUGGCUGCAGUCUGUAUGCUCGCUCAAAGUACUUGGUGAGUACGUGCACUUGCUCAGAUGAGAAAUCAGAAUCACUGAGCCUAGCUUGUCAUUUCUUCCCCCCAAAUAAAUUACAGUAACUAUUGUAAUGGGUGUGGAAAGGGGGUUGUUGGAAGCAGCUUCCAAAAAUAAUAAUGAUAGUGUGGCUACCGCUGUGCUAAUAAGCACUUUAUGUGCAUUCUCAUUUAGCCUUCACGUUGGUCCUGUGAGGAAUGUACAAGUUGAGCUUCCCUAAUUUGAAAAUCCAAAACCCAGAAUGCUCUAAAAUCUGAAACAUUUUGAGCACUGAUAUGACCCAAGUAAGAAAUUCUACACCUGACUUUAUGUGAAGGAUCCCAGUCCAAAAACAGAUGCACUAAAAAUAUGAUGUAAAACCCUUUAGGCUGUGUUUAUAAGGUGUGUAAGAGAGAAAAGAAUUUUGUGUCCUAACCCCUAGAUAUCUCAUUGUGUGCAGGCAAAUAUUCCAAAAUCCAAAAAAUCUGAAAUCCAAAACAUUUCUGCUCCUAAGCAUUUCAGGUUAGGGAUACUCAACUAGUAUUGGCAUUUGUGUCAUUUUAUAAACAAGAGAAUGAAACAUAAGAGAGUAUAAGUGACUUUCCCAAAGUCACAGAGCUGGUCAGCAGCAGGGCAAGGAUUUGAGCUAGUCUCUUGGUGACCAAGACUCAGACCUGGUAUUGUGUGGUAAAGGCUAAUGAAAGCAGGUCUGUGGCUCACAUGAGCUGACCUUGAGGAUUACUCCUCCCUGUCGUUUCCCCUUCAUGGGUGUUGUGUGUGAGCAUGGGGGGGAGGUAUGUUUCUUAGAAAGAAGAGGAGCUGCAUUGCCGGAAUGACCUUCUUCUCAUUCCAGGCAUGGAGAGGCAUAUUGAAGAAGAUGAAGUCCGCUCAUCAGCAGACCUUCGGAUUCGGAAAUCUCAGGUAAAGUUGUCCCUGAUCUGACAAUCAUCUUCUCCAAUUCUUAUUUUCUUUCUUUUUCUUAAGCUGU